rnacentral:rRNA from 1 species
GACGAACGCUGGCGGCGUGCUUAAUACAUGCAAGUCGAACGGAAAGGCCCUGCUUUUGUGGGGUGCUCGAGUGGCGAACGGGUGAGUAACACGUGAGUAACCUGCCCUUGUCUUUGGGAUAACUUCAGGAGACUGGGGCUAAUACCGGAUAGGAGCUCCUGCUGCACGGGGGGGGUUGGAAAGUUUCGGCGGUUGGGGCUGGACUCGCGGCUUAUCAGCUUGUUGGUGGGGUAGUGGCUUACCAAGGCUUUGACGGGUAGCCGGCCUGAGAGGGGGACCGGCGACAAUGGGACUGAGAGACGGCCCAGACGGCUACGUGAGGCAGCGGUGGGGAAUAUGGCACAGUGGGCGGAAGCCUGAUGCAGCAACCCCGGGUGCGGGAUGACGGCUUUCGGGGUGUAAACCGCUUUCGCCUGUGACGAAGCGUGAGUGACGGUAAUGGGUAAAGAAGCACCGGCUAACUACGUG